UACGUAGGGGGCGAGCGUUGUCCGGAUUUAUUGGGCGUAAAGAGCUCGUAGGCGGCUCGUCGCGUCGACCGUGAAAACCCGCGGCUUAACCGCGGGCUUGCGGUUGAUACGGGCGGGCUAGAGUUCGGUAGGGGAGACUGGAAUUCCUGGUGUAGCGGUGAAAUGCGCAGAUAUCAGGAGGAACACCGGUGGCGAAGGCGGGUCUCUGGGCCGAUACUGACGCUGAGGAGCGAAAGCGUGGGGAGCGAACAGG
rnacentral:rRNA from 1 species